CUCUUUCCGUUGCAUCAUUCGCCUGCGCACCAAUAACAGCUUCAAAUGAACAAACAACAAUUCCCACUAUGACUUACUUGGGCAGUUUGUCCCCUCAGUAUCGAGGGCUGGGGUCUUCCCAUCUGAGCAACAUCCUAAAGAUCUCCGCUGCUUUCCAUGUCCUCAUCACCACUUCCACUGCCGGAUUCAUCAUAUGUUUGAGAAUAUGUGGGUCGGACCACAGGAACUGUCACAGUUGGUUUAAUAGUGGUCGUGCGUGCGCUGUGCGUCUGGGUCACAGGUCUGGCAGUACUCGUUGCACGAACUUUGGGGGCAGCUGUGGUUUCCAUCACCAAUUGGAAGGAGUUGAUUGGCUUUUUUGGUUUAGGAGCCUUUGAAGGUGUUGUCGGUGUGGGAAUUGAUCGACCAAUGGGAGGGGCUGGUGUUCCAUUUGGAGCUACGGUUUGAAGAUUUGAAGGAGUGAUGGUUUCUAUAAAAAUGCACCACGAAAUAUAAUUUAUCUUAUUGAAAACCAGUUUAUCCAGCCAUUACAUAUUAGUAACAUAAUGCAAAUUUAGUGAAAUCUAUGAAGCUUGUUCAGCUCAGCAAAUUUCAAAAUAUCAGUACAGUAUCAUUGAGAUCUGGGAAGACAUUUUAAAAAACUAGUCAGUUCAUUUUACAUCAGCUCAUCCAAAGCCAACAUUAUCCUGUACAUUUAGAAACUGGUCUAUAAAACAGUAUUGCAGGGAGACAAAAAUGAAAUAGAAUGCUGCAGAUUUACAGUAUAGCCCCACCCCCAGCACAACAAUUUGAAAGAUUUUACAACAUAAAUAGUAUUUUAAAAAAAGAGGUUUCUUUAGAUCAGAACUUAUGGGCACCGGUCUCAAGGGUAAGGCAGAUUCUAAUUGGGGCAUAUGAACUGUACACUCACUUACCCGUACAUUGCGUGUGCAUGCACCAACCUGCCCUUUUUUAACUCCAUGUAUACUGAGAAGUAUAUUCAAAAGAUAUUCUAGGGCUGUGCGCCCAUUGCAAAUGGUCUGAAUUAAUUUCAAAGUAAAGCAAAAUUUGAAUGCAAAAAAUAAAAUCUCACGUGAAAAUGC